rnacentral:tRNA from 1 species
CUUCGGGUUGGCCCGCGGCGGCGUGCCGGUGGCCUGGGAGGUCGCCGCGGCCCUGCACGCGCCGCUGGAUGUGUUCCUGGUCCGCAAGCUCGGGGU